AUAUCAUUUAGCGGAGGAAAAGAAACUAAAAAGGAUUCCCUUAGUAACGGCGAGUGAAACGGGAUGAGCCCAGCGCCGAAUCGAUCAGCCUAUGGUUGCUUCGAAAUGUGGCGUAUAGGUGUAGUCUUCCAGCAGUGUCGUGAGUCCGAAGUCCUUACGAUUGAGGCCAUAGACCAGAGAGGGUGCGAGUCCCGUCCUGGAUUGCGAUGCUGUUGGUUCGAUUGCUCCUUGGAGUCGGGUUGCUUGAAAGUGCAGCCUAAAGUGGGUGAUAAACUUCAUCUAAGGCUAAAUAUUGACUCGAUUGCGAUAGCGAACAAGUACCGUGAGGGAAAGUUGCAAAGGACUUUGAAGAGAGAGUUCAAGAGAACGUGAAAUCGCUGGAGUGGAACCGGAGACAGUUGAUGUUGCUUGGAGACAAGUUUGGUGGCUGGUCGCUUAGUUGUGAUCGUCGCCGGAUGUCGUUUCCUAUGCUACGCCGACGGCGUUGGUCGCUCGUUCUGGCCCGACAGUGUUGCCCAGCUCGCAAGAGUCGGUGUCUUGUUGUCGGUCGUUGGUUCGUGGUGGCUAGCGUUUAGUUACGCUAGUGUGUGUGACGUCGGUGUGAAAGUCGACGACGUUUCCGACCCGUCUUGAAACACGGAUUGCGGAGUGCUUGUCUACUGCGAGUCAAAGGGUGUUAAAACCUUGCGGCGAAAUGAAAGUGAAGGUCAGUCUUGAAUUGGCCGACGUGGGAUCGGUGCUCCUCGGAGUGCUGCGCACCACGGCCCUGUGCGUGUCACUUGUGACUGUGCAGAGGUUGAGCAGUUGGCAAACGACCCGAAAGAUGGUGAACUAUGCCUGAGCAGGAUGAAGCCAGAGGAAACUCUGGUGGAAGUCCGUAUCGGUUCUGACGUGCAAAUCGAUCGAUAGACUUGGGUAUAGGGGCGAAAGACUAAUCGAACCAUCUAGUAGCUGGUUCCUUCCGAAGUUUCCCUCAGGAUAGCUGGAUCUCCGGCAGUUAUAUUCGGUAAAGCUAAUGAUUAGAGGCCUUGGGGACGUAAUGUCCUCAACCUAUUCUCAAACUUUCAAUGGAUAUGAAGUUGCAGUUUCUUUAGUGAACUGUCAACGUGAAUGCGAGGUCCAAGUGGGCCAUUUUUGGUAAGCAGAACUGGCGCUGUGGGAUGAACCAAACGUGGAGUUAAGGUGCCUAACUUCUCGCUCAUGAGACCCCAUAAAAGGUGUUGGUUGAUAUUGACAGCAGGACGGUGGCCAUGGAAGUCGGUAUCCGCUAAGGAGUGUGUAACAACUCACCUGCCGAAUCAACUAGCCCUGAAAAUGGAUGGCGCUUAAGCGAGAGACCUAUACUCCGCCGUUGCGGCAUGUGCGUUGUCUAGCGCCAGGCCGUAACGAGUAGGAAGGUCGUGGCGGUUGCUUUGAAGGCUAUGAGCGUGGGCUCGGCUGGAGCUUCCGUCAGUGCAGAUCGUAAUGGUAGUAGCAAAUAUUCAAGUUCGAUCCUUGAAGACUGAAGUGGAGAAGGGUUCCACGUGAACAGUAGUUGGAUGUGGGUCAGUCGAUCCUAAGGUACUGGCGAACGCCUUGUAUCAUCGGUGGCGAAAAGCUUGCUUUUGGUCCCCGUUUGUCGAAAGGGAAUAGGGUUAAUAUUCCCUAACUGAGAUGCAAAGAUUGUGUUCUUCGGAGCACAAGCGCGGUAACGCAUUCGAACUUGGUUAGUCGCUCAAAGACCGAGCUAGAGUUUUCUUCUCUAGUUAAGGAACGGACUCCCUGGAAUUGGUUCAGCCAGAGAUGGGGACGUUGUUUCCGAAAAGCACCGCGGUUUCUGUGGUGUCUCGUGCUCUUUGAACGGCCCUUAAAACACCAAGGGAGGCUAUUAAUUUGCACUCAAUCGUACCGAUAUCCGCAUUAGGUCUCCAAGGUGAACAGCCUCUAGUCGAUAGAAUAAUGUAGGUAAGGGAAGUCGGCAAACUAGAUCCGUAACUUCGGGAAAAGGAUUGGCUCCAGUGGUUGGAACGAUUGGCCAGUUGGUUGAUGCUUGUCCGGCGCUAUUCUGUCUGCUUGAUGCUUUCGGGCUGAUGGCGGACUAGUGAUAGUGCUUGCUUGUGGACGCUUUCUGGUGUGUGCUAGGACCUCGGUUCUAGUAUCCUGAUCGCUCAUCUAAACAACCGUACUGGAACCGGUACGGACUCAGGGAAUCCGACUGUCUAAUUAAAACAGAGGUGACAGAUGGUCCUUGCGGACGCUGACUGUCACUGAUUUCUGCCCAGUGCUCUGAAUGUUAAAUCGUAGUAAUUCGAGUAAGCGCGGGUAAACGGCGGGAGUAACUAUGACUCUCUUAAGGUAGCCAAAUGCCUCGUCAUUUAAUUGUUGACGCGCAUGAAUGGAUUAACGAGAUUCCUACUGUCCCUAACUACUAUCUAGCGAAACCACAGCCAAGGGAACGGGCUUGGCAAAAAUAGCGGGGAAAGAAGACCCUGUUGAGCUUGACUCUAGUUUGACAUUGUGAAGAGUCAUGAGAG
rnacentral:rRNA from 1 species